rnacentral:misc_RNA from 1 species
AAAGACACUAAAAUGUGUUCAUUCAUAAAGACGUGAAAAACUUCAUUAAACCCAAAAUGAGACUGGCACCAUUGUGUCUCUUAUUAUUGAGAAAUUUUUUUUUUACAGUGGUGAUUUAGCUCAUACUUCCCAAGCACACAUAUUUCAUCUCUAAAUAUUCAUCCAUCCCGUAUUUAGAACCUUCGCGGCCAAGACCUGAUUGUUUCACACCCCCAAAUGGAGCUACCUCGGUUGAAACUAGUCCUUCAUUAACUCCGACAAUUCCAUAUUCGAGAGCUUCAGUAACACGCCAAGCUCUUUUGAUGUUUGUUGAGAAUAUAUAAGCAGCUAAACCAGCAUUAGUGUCGUUAGCCAUUUGGAUUGCUUCUUCGUCUGUUUUGAACUUCAAAAGAGGGGCGACUGGCCCAAAUACUUCCUCUUUCGCCAAGAGCAUCUCACUGUUAACUCCAGUAACAACUGUAGGCUCGUAGAAAGUCAUGCCAAGGCUGUGUCUCUUCCCACCAACAAGGACUUUGGCUCCCUUUGAAGUAGCUUCAUCCACAAAAUAUUCAACCUUCUGUACUGCUGCUUCAUUGAUUAGAGGGCCUUGCUCUACACCUUCAGUGAAACC